GAUACCCUGGUAGUCCACGCAGUAAACGAUGAAUACUAGCUGUCCGGGGCGAAUGAGCCCUGGGUGGCACAGCGAAAGCGUUAAGUAUUCCACCUGGGGAGUACGCCGGCAACGGUGAAACUCAAAGGAAUUGACGGGGGCCCGCACAAGCGGAGGAACAUGUGGUUUAAUUCGAUGAUACGCGAGGAACCUUACCCGGGCUCAAACGACACAGGAACGUACCUGAAAGGGUUCGGCUCUACGGAGCCUGUGUCGAGGUGCUGCAUGGUUGUCGUCAGCUCGUGCCGUGAGGUGUCGGCUUAAGUGCCAUAACGAGCGCAACCCCCAUCGACAGUUGCUAACAGGUCAGGCUGAGGACUCUGUCGAGACUGCCGGCGCAAGCUGCGAGGAAGGCGGGGAUGACGUCAAAUCAGCACGGCCCUUACGUCCGGGGCGACACACGUGUUACAAUGGCAGGUACAGCGGGAAGCCACCUGGCGACAGGGCGCGGAACCCGAAAACCUGUCUCAGUUCGGAUUGGAGUCUGCAACCCGACUCCAUGAAGCUGGAUUCGCUAGUAAUCGCGCAUCAGCCACGGCGCGGUGAAUACGUUCCCGGGCCUUGUACACACCGCCCGUCACACCAUGGGAGUCGGAAAUGCCCGAAGCCGGUGACUCAACCGCAAGGAGAGAGCCGUCGAAGGCAGGUCUGAUGACUGGGGUGAAGUCGUAACAAGGUACC
rnacentral:rRNA from 1 species